GCCUGCUUCUCUCUCUUCAGCUCCCCCUGCUUGUGCACUCUCUCUCUCUUUCUCUUCAAAUACUUGACAUAUAUGGAAACAUACUUGACAUGUAUGGAAAGAUAAAAGUCCUCAGCAGAGAGAAGAAGCCAUUAAACCUCAGAACUAAAAAAUAUGUAUCAGAAAUUAAAACUUCACUGGAUAUGCUUCAUGUUAGGAUGGAGAGAAGAACCAGUGAACUUGAAAGCCCAUUAAUAGAAAGUAUCUACUCUAAAGAGCAGGGGAAAAGACUGAAAAAAAAAAAAUUAACAGAUUCAGAAACCUGCCAAAAGGUUGAACGCAAGUUUCCUUGAAGUCCCAGAAAGAGAGGUGAAAAAUGUGGCAUAGACAAAAAUUUUGAAGCCUCACUCCAAAAGAAUUGUGAAAAGAAGUCCUUUGGGCUGAAGAGAAGGAAUCCCAGAAGGAAAUCUGUAUCUGCCGGGGUAAAAAAAGCAACAGAAAUGGAAAUCUCUGAAGGUGUACUGAUGACUCCUCUACUUCCAGAGACAGUAGACUUCCAGGAACUUCCAGAGGACAAUUUUUUUUCCUAGCUUAAAAAAUAUAGUCCUGAGGUGCCUGGGUGGCUCAGUCGUUAAGCAUCUGCCUUUGGGUCAGGUCAUGAUCCCAAGCUCCUGGGAUUGAGCCCCAUAUCCAGCUCCUUGCUCAGCGGGAAGCCUGCUUCACCCUCUCCCACUCCUUCUGUUUUUGUUCCCCCUCUCUCUGUAUC